UACCCAGCAAACCAUGUUGUUAUAUGCGCCUUCCCGUUACAUAACAUCCCUAAGAAAUGAGGUAUAUACCUGAUACAUCUCAAAACUAAUGUAUCUGAUACAUAACAUUUCAUACAUCCAUGAAAUUAUUUGACUUAUUGAUGUAUCAUAUAUGUAACAUUGUUAUAUUACUGAAGUUACGUAUAUGAUACAUCUUCCAGCAUCCCUAAAAACAAUAUAACUCUGAUAUCUACUAGUGUGUAAUAUAGUUACAUAUCAUAUAUGUAACAUUCGCAAUAUAUAUUUUACAUUGCUAAUGUUAUGUAAAAGCUAUGUAAAUAUAGCAUAUUCAUGAUAUAUUACUCAGAUCUAUACAAGUACUCUUAUAAUACAUAACCUUUAUUAAAGUUGAACUGUUUAGAGAUUUUUGCCAGGACUAGUGCAGUGAAAAGUGAUAUGCAUUUUCUAACUUUUGAUUGUUAGUUAGAAGUGAUGAACUAUAAUAAUAAUAAUAUUCAAUAUUCUUUGAUUUUUCAUCAAUUCCGGAUUACUUUCAUCGUGGAAAUAUGUGAGAUAAGAAGUGAAAAACUGUAAUAAUAAUAUUCAACAUUCGAUGAUUUUUCACCAAUUCCAGAUUAGUUUCAUAGUGAAAAUAUGUGAGAGUGAGGAAUCACCUCCUGAAGUUUACUCAUGUAUUCAAAACUUUCAUAACUUUAUAUUAUGUAAGAAAUUUGUUAUUUAUCCAAUCAGGAAACCUCGUUACUGAGAAUUUUAAUUGUAAAUACCAUUUUUUAAUAACAUUCCAAUAUGUUUAGGUUUUGCAUCUCAAUCUUUUAUCCAAUGUGCAGACUUUGAGAAGAUAGAUAUCAGCCGAGUGGAUAAGGCUGGCCACAUUGAGGAUCAAGAGACAAAAAUAAGUUUUGGUUGAUGUAGGUACUUUGAUUACAUUAAAAAUUUUAAAUAAUUCUAUGAUCUUUCAUUUAACAAA